rnacentral:rRNA from 1 species
UACGUAGGGUGCGAGCGUUGUCCGGAAUUAUUGGGCGUAAAGAGCUCGUAGGCGGUGUGUCGCGUCGGCCGUGAAAACCUGGGGCUCAACUCUGGGCGUGCGGUCGAUACGGGCAUCACUUGAGUUCGGCAGGGGAGACUGGGAAUUCCUGGUGAUAGCGGUGAAAUGCGCAGAUAUCAGGAGGAACACCGGUGGCGAAGGCGGGUCUCUGGGCCGAUACUGACGCUGAGGAGCGAAAGCAUGGGUAGCGAACAGG